rnacentral:rRNA from 1 species
GACGAACGCUGGCGGCGUGCCUAAUACAUGCAAGUCGAACGGAGUGGCGAACGGGUGAGUAAUGUAUAGCUAAUCGGCCCUACACUAGAGGAUAACAGUUGGAAACGACUGCUAAUAAUCUAUAGUGUAGGAUGAGGCUAUAUUGUAUCAGCUAGUUGGUGAGGUGAUGGCGCACCAAGGCUAUGACGCAUAACUGGUCUGAGAGGAUGAUCAGUGACGCUGGAACUUAGACACGGUCCAGACUCCUACGGGAGGCAGCAGUAGGGAGUAUUGCUCAAUGGGGGAAACCCUGAAGCAGCAACGCCGCGUGGAGGAUGACACUUUUCGGAGCGUAAACUCCUUUUGUUAGGGAAGCGGUACCUAACGAAUAAGCACCGGCUAACUCCGUGCCAGCAGCCGCGGUAAUAC